rnacentral:rRNA from 1 species
UCGGGAAUAUUGGACAAUGGGGGCAACCCUGAUCCAGCAAUGCCGCGUGUGUGAAGAAGGCCUGCGGGUUGUAAAGCACUUUCAGUAGAGAAGAAAAGCCUAAGGUUAAUAACCUUGAGUCUUGACGUAACCUACAGAAGAAGCACCGGCUAACUCCGUGCCAGCAGCCGCGGUAAUACAGAGGUGGCAAGCGUUGUUCGGAAUUACUGGGCGUAAAGGGCGCGUAGGCGGCCCUCUAAGUCAGACGUGAAAUCCCCCGGCUUAACCUGGGAACUGCGUCUGAUACUGGAGGGCUUGAGUAUGGGAGAGGGAUGUAGAAUUCCAGGUGUAGCGGUGAAAUGCGUAGAUAUCUGGAGGAAUACCGGUGGCGAAGGCGGCAUCCUGGACCAUUACUGACGCUGAGGCGCGAAAGCU